GCCUCCUUUUCUUUGUCAUGCAUGCAUAUUAAUUGAGGAUGGAGAAUAUCUACGCUUGUUCAGGCCAGCCAACAUACGACAGUUUACUUCAAGAGAGGAGACACGGGUUGAAUGCUGAAAACACGCACAGCCAAGCCCACAUGCCAGUCUUGUUAGCUGCCUUCCUUUACCUUCAAGAGUGGGCUGAAGCUUGUCCAAUCUUUCAAGGUUGCUGAAGACUGUAUGAUGGAAGUCAUCUGCAUUGGGAAAGAAAUUAAUGGAGAGAGGAGAAAACUUGAGAAUCCACACUACUCACCCUGCAGGGCCAAGAACUCUGUCUCCCAUGCUUUGCUGUCCUGUCUCAGUAUUUCCUGUGACCACCUCCUUUUUCAACUGAAGACUUUGUACCUGAAGGGGUUCCCAGGUUUUUCACCUCGGCCCUUGUCAGGACUGAUCCUCUCAACUACUGACCAUUUCACCUCCAUUCAUGUCCAUGCCACAUCAGGCUGUGUUGUCUAGAUGGAAUGAAUCCAUCCCAAAUGUCCCUUUCUGGAGGAAGCCACCAUUAUGCUGUACCUCCAAGCAUAAUGGUACGUCCACACACACCAGGGCACCUCGCUCAUGCAAGGUGCGUGUCCUCUAACAAAGUUUCACGCUCUAAACCCAGAUAACUUUUCAAACCCAAGUUCUGUUGAUUCCCCUACUUUGAGUGCUCCAUAGAUGCUCAUUUGUCUACUAAACACUGCCCCAGGCAAUUAAAUAUUCCAAAGUGACCAGCAGAAUUUUUAUGUUAAUU
ensembl:lncRNA novel transcript